rnacentral:rRNA from 1 species
GAUGAACGCUGGCGGCGUGCUUAACACAUGCAAGUCGAACGAAGAUGCCGGAGUGCUUGCACUUUGGCAGGCUGAGUGGCGGACGGGUGAGUAACGCGUGGGUAACCUGCCUUAUACAGGGGGAUAACAGUUGGAAACGACUGCUAAUACCGCAUAAGCGCACGGUAUCGCAUGAUACAGUGUGAAAAACUCCGGUGGUAUAAGAUGGACCCGCGUCUGAUUAGCUAGUUGGUGAGGUAACGGCCCACCAAGGCGACGAUCAGUAGCCGGCCUGAGAGGGUGAACGGCCACAUUGGGACUGAGACACGGGCCCAAAACUCCGUACGGGAGGCAGCAGUGGGAAUAUUGCACAAGUGGGGGAAACCCUGAUGCAGCGACGCCGCGUGAGUGAUGAAGUAUUUCGGUAUGUAAAACUCUAUCAGCAGGGAAG